UACGUAGGUGGCAAGCGUUGUCCGGAUUUACUGGGCGUAAAGAGCGCGCAGGCGGUCGUUCAAGUCGCGUGUGAAAGCCCCCGGCUCAACUGGGGAGGGUCACGCGAUACUGAUCGACUCGAAGGCAGGAGAGGGUAGUGGAAUUCCCGGUGUAGUGGUGAAAUGCGUAGAUAUCGGGAGGAACACCAGUGGCGAAGGCGGCUUCCUGGACCGGAACUGACGCUGAGGCGCGAAAGCCAGGGGAGCAAACGGG
rnacentral:rRNA from 1 species